AUAUCCCUAUUCCAAGUCAAUCAAAAGUAGCAGCCGGCUCUGUGAGAAAAGUUUUCUUUAAAUAAUUCCGGGAAAACUUCAAAAGAUCGGUUAACAUUCAUUUUUCUUGAAACCCAUAAUUUCUAAUUGGAAUAAUUUCUAAAUUGUAGUAAUUAAAACCUCUCCCCUAAUAAUAGAAGAAAAAAGCCAAAAACAAUGUCGAGGACUACAACAACAACAGAAAAGGAAACAAGCUUAUGUCAUAAUAGUAAACAACCAAAAACGGUUCAGAAUUCGAAUAAAAAUGAAGAUUCUUUGCAUGAUGACUUGAUUGUUACAUUGCAAGAAAUCUUGUCGGAUUUAACUGAUGAUGUACUAAAGGAAUUAAAAACUGUGGCAAACAAGGAAAACGAAGAAAUUAAAGACCUAAACAACAAUAAUAAAAAUACGACAAAAACUAAAGUAACUAAGACAAUCUCCAAAUCAAAAGAUCGAUUUAAACAGAGAAAGCAAUUUUGUCCAAAUAUCGCUAGAGCUAUUAUCAGUGAAUAUCACAAUGGAGCAAAUUGCAUUGAAUUAUAUAUAAACGGGUGGUAUUUUCGUGGAUUCAUUGAUACCGGUACAACAGUAACAUGUUUGGGAAUGGGUUGUUUGGAUUUUGUCCAAAGAAACGGCCUGGAAAUAUUUCCCUGCUACCAGCCAUAUAUUCGAACAGCUGAUGGUCAAAUAAAUGAUAUUGUGGGCACGGUACGCAUAAAUGUUGGUUAUAAUGGAUACACAAAACCUUUGACAGUAUUAUUGGUACCAUCUCUGAAGAUACGCAUAUCAAUCGGUUUAGAUGUGGUUAAUACAUUCAAUAUAAGAGUAUCACAAUAUGUUAGUCGAUUAUAUUCAUCAUAUGAUUAUAAUUAUUGUAAUAAUUAUUUUUGAUAUAAAGAAUCAAAUGAAUGAACGAACUUCAGAAAAACAAUGCUACCUCCUAAACAUCACAUUCUGAAUAUUUAUACAUCUUCUGUGAAAUGAAUUUAUACGUUAUUAAUUGUUAUCGACUUGUAUUUAAUGCAAAUAAAACACGAAGUUAAAAAUAAAAACAA